CCUACGGGAGGCAGCAGUCGGGAAUAUUGCACAAUGGAGGAAACCCUGAUGCAGCAACGCCGCGUGCGUGAAGAAGUAUUUCGGUAUGUAAAGCGCUAUCAGCAGGGAAGAAGAAAGACGGUACCUGACUAAUAAGCCCCGGCUAACUACGUGCCAGCAGCCGCGGUAAUACGUAGGGGGCAAGCGUUAUCCGGAUUUACUGGGUGUAAAGGGAGCGUAGCCGGCUGUACAAGUCUGAUGUGAAAGCCCGUGGCUUAACCGCGGAACUGCUUUUGAAACUGUAUAGCUUGAGUACUGGAGAGGCAGACGGAAUUCCUAGUGUAGCGGUGAAAUGCGUAGAUAUUAGGAGGAACACCAGUGGCGAAGGCGGCCUGCUGGACAGCAACUGACGGUGAGGCUCGAAAGCGUGGGGAGCAAACAGGAUUAGAUACCCGUGUAGUC
rnacentral:rRNA from 1 species